rnacentral:rRNA from 1 species
GAUGAACGCUGGCGGCGUGCCUAAUACAUGCAAGUCGAGCGAACAGACGAGGAGCUUGCUCCUCUGACGUUAGCGGCGGACGGGUGAGUAACACGUGGAUAACCUACCUAUAUGACUGGGAUAACUUCGGGAAACCGGAGCUAAUACCGGAUAAUAUAUUGAACCGCAUGGUUCAAUAGUGAAAGACGGUUUUGCUGUCACUUAUAGAUGGAUCCGCGCCGCAUUAGCUAGUUGGUACGGUAACGGCUUACCAAGGCAACGAUGCGUAGCCGACCUGAGAGGGUGAUAGGCCACACUGGAACUGAGACACGGUCCAGACGCCUACGGGAGGCAGCAGUAGGGAAUCGUACGCAAUGGGCGAAAGCCUGACGGAGCAACGCGGAGUGAGUGAUGAAGGUCUUCGGAUCGUAAAACUCUGUUAUGAGGGAAGAACAAAUGUGUAAGUAACUAUGCACGUCUUGACGGUACCUAAUCAGAAAGCCACGGCUAACUACGUG